rnacentral:tRNA from 1 species
CGGGGCGUAGCGCAGUUUGGUAGCGCACCACACUGGGGGUGUGGUGGUCACAGGUUCAAAUCCUGUCGUCCCGA